rnacentral:rRNA from 1 species
AGAUUGAACGCUGGCGGCGUGCCUAACACAUGCAAGUCGAGCGGUAACAGGUGUAGCAAUACAUGCUGACGAGCGGCGAACGGGUGAGUAAUGCUUUGGAAUCUUCCCAGUAGUGGGGAAUAACCAGUCGAAAGAUUGGCUAAUACCGCAUACGUCUGUAAAGGGAAAGCGGGGGCUCGUAAGACCUCGCGCUAUUGGAUGAGCCAAAGUCGGAUUAGCUUGUUGGUGGGGUAAUGGCCUACCAAGGCGACAAUCCGUAGCUGGUCUGAGAGGACGACCAGCCACACCGGAACUGAGACACGGUCCGGACUCCUACGGGAGGCAGCAGUGGGGAAUAUUGGACAAUGGGGGAAACCCUGAUCCAGCGACGCCGCGUGUGUGAAGAAGGCCUGCGGGUUGUAAAGCACUUUUAGUGGGGACAAAAGCUACGGAUUAAUACUCUGUGGUCUUGAUUUAACCCAAAGAAAAGCACCGGCUAACUCUGUGCCAGCAGCCGC